AACGAACGCUGGCGGCAUGCCUAACACAUGCAAGUCGAACGAGACCUUCGGGUCUAGUGGCGCACGGGUGCGUAACGCGUGGGAAUCUGCCCUUGGGUUCGGAAUAACAGUUGGAAACGACUGCUAAUACCGGAUGAUGACGUAAGUCCAAAGAUUUAUCGCCCAAGGAUGAGCCCGCGUAGGAUUAGCUAGUUGGUGAGGUAAAGGCUCACCAAGGCGACGAUCCUUAGCUGGUCUGAGAGGAUGAUCAGCCACACUGGGACUGAGACACGGCCCAGACUCCUACGGGAGGCAGAAGUGGGGAAGAUUGGACAAUGGGCGAAAGCCUGAUCCAGCAAUGCCGCGUGAGUGAUGAAGGCCUGAGGGUUGUAAAGCUCUUUUACCCGGGAUGAUAAUGACAGUACCGGGAGAAUAAGCUCCGGCUAACUCCG
rnacentral:rRNA from 1 species